rnacentral:rRNA from 1 species
UACGAAGGGGGCGAGCGUUGUUCGGAUUUACUGGGCGUAAAGGGCGCGCAGGCGGCUAUCCAAGUCAGGCGUGAAAGCCCCGGGCUUAACCUGGGAGGUGCGUCUGGGACUGGGUGGCUAGAGUUCGGGAGAGGAGAGUGGAAUUCCCAGUGUAGAGGUGAAAUUCGUAGAUAUUGGGAAGAACACCGGUGGCGAAGGCGGCUCUCUGGACCGAGACUGACGCUGAGGCGCGAAAGCUAGGGGAGCAAACGGG